rnacentral:rRNA from 1 species
GAUGAACGCUAGCGGCAGGCUUAAUACAUGCAAGUCGUGGGGCAGCGCAGGUAGCAAUACUGGGCGGCGACCGGCAAACGGGUGCGGAACACGUACACAACCUUCCGAGAAGUGGGGAAUAGCCCAGAGAAAUUUGGAUUAAUACCCCGUAACAUAACGAUGUGGCAUCACAUUGUUAUUAUAGCUUCGGCGCUUCUUGAUGGGUGUGCGGCUGAUUAGAUAGUUGGCGGGGUAACGGCCCACCAAGUCUACGAUCAGUAGCUGAUGUGAGAGCAUGAUCAGCCACACGGGCACUGAGACACGGGCCCGACUCCUACGGGAGGCAGCAGUAAGGAAUAUUGGUCAAUGGACGCAAGUCUGAACCAGCCAUGCCGCGUGAAGGAUUAAGGUCCUCUGGAUUGUAAACUUCUUUUAUCUGGGACGAAAAAGGCGAUUCUUCGUCACUUGACGGUACCAGAUGAAUAAGCACCGGCUAACUCCGUGCCAGCAGCCGACG